CCUACGGGAGGCAGCAGUGAGGAAUAUUGGUCAAUGGGCGCGAGCCUGAACCAGCCAAGUAGCGUGAAGGAUGACUGCCCUACGGGUGGUAAACUUCUUUUAUAAAGGAAUAAAGUGAGGCACGUGUGACUUUUUGUAUGUACUUUAUGAAUAAGGAUCGGCUAAAUCCGGGCCAGCAGACGCGGUAAUACGGAGGAUCCGAGCGUUAUCCGGAUUUAUUGGGUGUAAAGGGAGCGUAGAUGGGUUGUUAAGUCAGUUGUGAAAGUUUGCGGCUCAACCGUAAAAUUGCAAUUGAUACUGGCAGUCUUGAGUACAGUUGAGGUCGGUGGAAUUCGUGGUGUAGCGGUGAAAUGCUUAGAUAUCACGAAGAACUCCGAUUGCGAAGGCAGCGUACUAAACUGCCACUGACAUUGAUGCUCGAAAGUGUGGGUAUCAAACAGGAUUAGAUACCCCAGUAGUC
rnacentral:rRNA from 1 species